AACGAACGCUGGCGGCGCGCCUAAUACAUGCAAGUCGAGCGAGAAGACGUAGCAAUACGUUUGUAAAGCGGCGAACGGGUGAGGAAUACAUGGGUAACCUACCCUCGAGUGGGGAAUAACUAGCCGAAAGGUUAGCUAAUACCGCGUACGCUCCUUGGACUUCGGUUCAGGGAGGAAAGCGAUACCGUGGUAUCGCGCUCUUGGAUGGGCUCAUGUCCUAUCAGCUUGUUGGUGAGGAACGGCUCACCAAGGCUUCGACGGGUAGCUGGUCUGAGAGGACGAUCAGCCACACUGGCACUGCGACACGGGCCAGACUCCUAC
rnacentral:rRNA from 1 species